rnacentral:rRNA from 1 species
CCUACGGGAGACUGCAGUGGGGGAUAUUGCACAAUGGGGGGAACCCUGAUGCAGCGACGCCGCGUGGGUGAAGGAGCGUUUCGGCGCGUAAAGCCCUAUCGGCAGGGAAGAAGGAGGACGGUACCUGACUAAGAAGCCCCGGCUAACUACGUGCCAGCAGCCGCGGUAAUACGUAGGGGGCAAGCGUUAUCCGGAUUUACUGGGUGUAAAGGGGGCGCAGACGGCAGCGCAAGCCAGGAGUGAAAGCCCGGGGCCCAACCCCGGGACUGCUCUUGGAACUGCGCGGCUGGAGUGCAGGAGGGGCAGGCGGAAUUCCUGGUGUAGCGGUGAAAUGCGUAGAUAUCAGGAGGAAAACCGGUGGCGAAGGCGGACUGCUGGACUGCGACUGACGUUGAGGCCCGAAAGCGUGGGGAGCAAACAGGAUUAGAUACCCCAGUAGUC